AAUUCGUACACUAUGUAUAAAAUAUAUUGUUUGAGGUAAAACUACUAGGUUGGUUACGUGUCAGCGUUUCGGUGAGUUUGCCCUCACUUAAUAAAUGACUUACUGUACAUACAUAUUCAUUGAUCUUUGUUAUAGAAUUCAACAUCUUAACAUUUUAUUUAAUCCAUUGUUCAGAUUAUUUUGCUAUUGCUAAAUUGUAAAAAAUGAGCAAUAAUUAAUUUACCAGGAAAGCAUCAUUUCAAUUUUAAGCAUUAAUUGUACAAUACUUUAAUUCACCCUGUUAUUUGUAAAGGAACACUAUAUAUUUAAUUAUUAUCUGGUUAUUGUUUUAGAUUCCAUUAUUCACACGGACUGUUAUUUGUUAAAAAUAAAGUGAUUGAGAUUAAUGUUUGUGGUGAUAAUGAUGAACUCACUAUUUGUAUACCUUAGAUAGAAUUUCCAGUUGCCUUCAUUUGGCAAACAAAAUGUUCAUGAAUUUAAUCCUGCAGAUAUUGAUUAUACUACAAACACAGCCUUUUAUAAUCAGAAUUUUUUGCUCAAUGAUCAACAUAUUUGAAAUUAGAAUUGGAUUAUCCUUAUUAUAAUUUACCCAUUAGCAUAAAAUCAAUAAUGAACACUAUAAAAUAUCAAAUGAUCACCCUGCUGGUGAUAUGGUCACAAAUUGCACUAACCAGCUAGUGCAUUCAUCAGUCAGGGAAUUUACUCUACUUUACACUGGUAGUAUAUAGGAUUUAAGUCUGAGCCAACAAGUCCUGCUAUUGAUCAUCAAGACACAACCUAGUGUUCAUCAUUGACAAUUCUCAGUGCAGAAUAAUUUAAACUUACAUUUUCUGGUUACAAUUUUUAAACAAGAAAUUUAUUAUGUUUUUAUCAUUAUCACCUUUGCUAACCACCUGCUUUUCCCCAUCAAUGCACAACCCUAUCAUAGUCAUGACAUUUCUCCACGCUUGUACAUACUAUACUUCAAAAAUAUUAUUGGGGCAAAUUUUUUUAUGAAAAAUUUGGUGAAUAGCAAAGGAAUAAUUGAUCUUGUAUGAGUCUUGUCAAUGAUCCCACAAGGGCCCUAAGGUACCUGGUGAAAUGAAUAUAAAAUUAUAAUAUAGGCCAAUCCUAGCAUGAUAUGUUUAUUAACACCAGUACUUGGUGGUAUUGUUCCCCCUCUCCUCAAACAUGUGACUUACAGAUAUGUAUUUGGGACAUUGCAUGUUGGUUUGUGUAGGUGUUUUAUAUCUUAUUUCCAUUUUGAUGUUGUAUAUGGUUUAAGAAUAAGGCAUCCUGUAAUAAUUCUGUGGCAUCAUUUUUGUGUACUUGCUUUUAAUGAGGAAUGGCAUAUGCGAGUCGUAUCACAAUAAAUCUUGCAUCCUUUCAUAUCGUUUUCUUAUGUAUUCUUUAAUUUUUCUUUCCAUCAUCACCUCACAUUUUGUACUUGCUUUUGAAAAAAUGAAGAAUAAAGUUCUUCUGUGCAGCUCUAUGAGGUGGAAUGUGCCCCUUAUAAGAUGGCAUUAUUAAUUAUUAUCUCUUCUCCCUUCCAUUUUUCUCUUAUUCACCCAUUAUUAUCAGCUUUCUCCAUCAUCUUUUUAUUAUUCUUCCUCACCUGCCCCCACUUCCUAAGAUUAUAUUAUUAUUUCCUCUCCUCAUCCCUUGUUAUUUGUGUUUUUUUUUUUCUCUCCUUUGAUUCCUACUUCUCUUCAUUCCUUUCAUUUGUGUUUCCCUAAUUCCUUUUGCAUCAUCUCUUCAAUUCAUCCCUCUCUAUGAUUCCUGCAUCUCCAUACCAUUGGACCUCCCUCAUCAUCCUACUCAUUCUCCUCACCAAGUGGUACAGUAAUGGUCUAUAUCUACUAUUGAAUAUUUGUGUGUCAGUCACAUGACAUUCUUUUCCUUUCCUAGAUCUCUAGAACAUCUUUCUGUCAUUCAGAUUUUUUCUGAAACAAAUUUACAGUUAAUAUUUCACUAAACAUGCACGUAAUGCCUUGUUGCUCUUUGUGGCACCUUAUUGGAAUAAAUAACUUCUAAUUAAUUCUUGACAAUUUUGUACAAUAAUUGCAGAAUGUAAUAUGAUCCCUAUGUCACAUUUCUUAGAUAAUUGUAUCAUGUCAUAAAUAUUUCUUGAUAAUUGUGCCAUAGAUUGCAGUUUCUAGACCAGUAACGUAGCAGGUGCAGAUUUGUUGGCCAAAUAUUUUGUUACCUUAUUUCCUUCACAUGUCAGGCAUAGUAUCUGUGUUCAUUCAGCAUCCUUCCUUGUGUUAACCUAUACAAUAACUCUUUUAUUUUAUUUUUAAUUUAUUCAUCUUCCCACUUGCAAAUAAACAAUUAAAAUAUUUAUAAUGAGAUAAAGUUGCCAGUGACUGGAAAAGGCCAACAGGUGAAUAAUCUAGGCACCUGGUGGCCAAUCCUGGCAAUUUCUGCUUUCCCAUGGCAAGAUUCACAUUGUGCCUUCCCACAGCAGUCUUCACAUUGAGCAUUAAGUCAUCGUGGCUUCCCAUGGCAGCAACAUUCAUUGCAUUCACAUUGAAUUUCAGUCAUCAUGCUUAGCAUUAGGUUCAUUCUGGCGUGGUUGUGUAUCACAGUGGCGGACCUUAGGGAAAAUUGCAGGGUAUGUUAGGUAUUGGGAUGUCUAGGAUGUGCGAGAGGUGUGCACGCCUCCAUCCCCCAGAAAAAAAAAAUACUUGCCCAUCCCCUAGUCGUGCCCACGCCCACAAAUCAUGCUCAAGAAGUUAAAAAUUAUUUUGCGAGUUAGCCGCUUCACCUAAUCAUCAAUCCCCAUCUUCCCACCCCCAUCAGCUUCCUUACAUUCCCAGUUUUUCCCCCAAAAAGAAAAGCCAUUGUGAGAAGUAGACAAUCCUCCUAUAAAAUCGAUUACAUACGCCUAAAUUGUCAUAUUUUUCGGCGGCUUUGUCCAAUGGACCAGUUUUAGAUAUUUAGAACGACCACGCCUACAUCGGGCUACCCCAGCAUA